CUUGUAUUUUACGUCAAAGGUGAUGGUUUUAAACUAUUUGACAGUGUGUAAUUAGAAUGUAAUAGUUUUUAUAUCUGUUACUUAUAUAAGAUAAAAUUCAUAAACAGAAAGUAGUAGCUGCAAUGAUAACAAUAAGCAAUGAAACCAUGGAAUGAAAAACAUUGUGACGCUAGCUGUGAUAAUCUUGAAUAUUAAGGCAUGUAAAUCUGUAGUCCC
rnacentral:lncRNA from 1 species